AUUGAACGCUGGCGGCAGGCCUAACACAUGCAAGUCGAACGAGUGGCGGACGGGUGAUUAAUGUCUGGGAAACUGCCUGAUGGAGGGGGAUAACUACUGGAAACGGUAGCUAAUACCGCAUACCAUCGGAUGUGCCAAGAUGGGAUUAGCUAGUAGGUGGGGUAAAGGCUCACCUCGGCGACGAUCCCUAGCUGGUGUGAGAGGAUGACGAGCGACAUGGGAACGGAUACACGGUCCAGACGCCUAAGGGAGGCAGCAGUGGGGAAUAGUGCACAAGGGGGGCAAGCAUGAUGCAGCCAUGCCGCGUGUAUGAAGAAGGCCUUCGGGGUGUAAAGUACUUUCAGCGGGGAGGCGUUACCCGCAGAAGAAGCACCGGCUAACUCCGUGCCAGCCGCCGCGGUAAUAC
rnacentral:rRNA from 1 species